UUCCUGUCAAUCAGAAAUACCCUUCAAUAUGAAGAAGUGAAAAUGAAACCAUAAGUCCAUGGACACAUGGGAGACAGACGAAUUUCUGCCUCUUUUUAUCCUGACUAGUCAUCCUUGAAUUUGGAGUUGUCCAUGAAGUUCUUCUACUGUCCAGAAAGAGGGCGCACACUUCCUUAGUUCCCAUCAGCGUGGUGGGAAAGAUUCCUACAGAGGCUGAAGAAAUAACAUUCUGGUGCUUUUUAAUGCUUAUCAAUGCAGAUCUUUCACCUGGGGAGCAAUCUGUUGUUCCCACUACAAUAAAAAAUAUGGAGUUUCUUUGAUAAAAAAUCUUAAUUUGUCUCUCCUUCUCCUUCUUCUUCCUCUUCCUUGCUGGAAGACAUGCAUGUCUGGC
rnacentral:lncRNA from 1 species